rnacentral:rRNA from 1 species
GCAUCCGUAGCCGGUUCCGUAGGUCCUCUGUUAAAUCCAACCGCUCAACGGUUGACAUGCAGAGGAUACCGCGAGACUAGGAGGCGGGAGAGGCGGACGGUACUCCGCGUGUAGGGGUAAAAUCCUUUGAUCCGCGGAAGACCACCAGUGGCGAAGGCGGUCCGCCAGAACGCGCUCGACGGUGAGGGAUGAAAGCUGGGGGAGCGAACCGGAUUAGAUACCCGGGUAGUCCCAGCCGUAAACGAUGCUAGCUAGAUGAUUCAUUCGCAAGUCGCGAAUGAAGUGUCGCAGGGAAGCCGUUAAGCU